rnacentral:lncRNA from 1 species
CUCCCUCCCAGGGCUUCCUCCCCCAGGAGGGAUAGCAGGAAGGCAGGCAAGGACAGGACCUGAGUCCACACCUCGUCCGCGGUCACCUGCCUGACCAGGAGGAAGGGGAGGGGACAGGAGUGAUUCCACGGAGGUCACCUGGGAGCUGGGGCUGGGCGACCCCAGGGCUGGAUGACCUCAGGGCUGGGUGACCUCAGGGCUGGGUGAUCUCAGGGCUGGGUGACUUCAAGGCUGGGUGACCUCAGGGCUGGAUGACCUCAGGGCUGGGUGACCCCAGGGCUGACUAUUGGCGGAGCACCUGGGGUGGGUGCCAUGGGCACCUGAGAGGGAACUUUGACCUGAGCGGAGGUCAGAACCCUCCUCUGAGGAAGUGCCCCACCCCACUGAGCUCCCAGAGGCUGGUGGCAGGUUGAACAGGGGACUAUGCCAGCAGAGGGACUGCCUUCCAGAGACUUUGGAUCAUCACCACGAUGGGUUGAUUUUACAAAUUUAGCCACUGUCACCGGAGGCCUGGCUGAACUUCAGAGUUUCUUCUCCAGCGUCGGUUUCUUGAUUGCCUAAAGUUCCUUCCAGUCUAAUACUCUGGGAUUCUGGGCCAGUUUCUGGUCUGUCACAGCUGAAUAAGAGUGCAAGGGCAGGAGUGGAAUGUUCAGACUGCUCCAAGAGGACCUUGGCCCAGGUGAGGCAGCAGGCCGGCACCCUGCCCACAACCACAUAGAGGGCCCAGGCUUGUCUGACGCCUCAGGCUGUGCUCUCUCCAGCUCACUGCGGUGCCUCUCCCAGAUUCGGGCACACUCUGGUGUAACCUGCUUCGCUCGUUCGCGGGAUGGGUGGUGAGCAUGGAGCCCAUUUUCCCAUGUGGCAUUUCAGCAACAGGACUUGGCUAUUUGAAACUCCCCAGACAUAGCAGGAUUUAAAAAACGGAUCCCCUCUGGCUGGGCAUUUAGGUUGCUUUCACUUCUGGGCUGCUAUAAACAGCCUGCAGUUACUGCCUCAGGACGCCUUUCUGGAAGGUGAGUUUCUUGGCCAGGGGAUAUCGCACAUGCACUUUGGAGCCUCUGAGCCUUUGCACAGGCUGGUCCCUUUGCCUGGCUGCCCCUCUCCCAUUUAUCCCUAGAUUCUUCUGCAGCACACACACUGCCUCCUCUGAAGUGUCCUGGCUGCAUGUGCUGCUCUCCUUGCCCUGGGCUGCCCUCUUCUCCCUGGUGUCAUGAGUAUCUGCUGACCUUCUGCUUCUCCCAUGACAGAGUGCCUUCCUUCUCUUCCUUCUCUGCCUUGGCCUCCAGCACGUAGUAGGCGCCUAGGAAAUGUUUUCCAGCAGAACGAGCCAUCUCCUGGCUGGUUUAGCAGUGUGGGAUUGUGUGGUGUUUCUAUUAGUC